rnacentral:hammerhead_ribozyme from 1 species
GCACUGCUGAGGAGUCCCACAACAGGACGAAGCGAUCCUCCAGUGC